rnacentral:rRNA from 1 species
GGUUAAGCGACUAAGCGUACACGGUGGAUGCCCUGGCAGUCAGAGGCGAUGAAGGACGUGCUAAUCUGCGAUAAGCGUCGGUAAGGUGAUAUGAACCGUUAUAACCGGCGAUUUCCGAAUGGGGAAACCCAGUGUGUUUCGACACACUAUCAUUAACUGAAUCCAUAGGUUAAUGAGGCGAACCGGGGGAACUGAAACAUCUAAGUACCCCGAGGAAAAGAAAUCAACCGAGAUUCCCCCAGUAGCGGCGAGCGAACGGGGAGGAGCCCAGAGCCUGAAUCAGUGUGUGUGUUAGUGGAAGCGUCUGGAAAGGCGCGCGAUACAGGGUGACAGCCCCGUACACAAAAAUGCACAUAUUGUGAGCUCGAUGAGUAGGGCGGGACACGUGGUAUCCUGUCUGAAUAUGGGGGGACCAUCCUCCAAGGCUAAAUACUCCUGACUGACCGAUAGUGAACCAGUACCGUGAGGGAAAGGCGAAAAGAACCCCGGCGAGGGGAGUGAAAAAGAACCUGAAACCGUGUACGUACAAGCAGUGGGAGCCUCUUUUAUGGGGUGACUGCGUACCUUUUGUAUAAUGGGUCAGCGACUUAUAUUCUGUAGCAAGGUUAACCGAAUAGGGGAGCCGAAGGGAAACCGAGUCUUAACUGGGCGUUAAGUUGCAGGGUAUAGACCCGAAACCCGGUGAUCUAGCCAUGGGCAGGUUGAAGGUUGGGUAACACUAACUGGAGGACCGAACCGACUAAUGUUGAAAAAUUAGCGGAUGACUUGUGGCUGGGGGUGAAAGGCCAAUCAAACCGGGAGAUAGCUGGUUCUCCCCGAAAGCUAUUUAGGUAGCGCCUCGUGAACUCAUCUCCGGGGGUAGAGCACUGUUUCGGCAAGGGGGUCAUCCCGACUUACCAACCCGAUGCAAACUGCGAAUACCGGAGAAUGUUAUCACGGGAGACACACGGCGGGUGCUAACGUCCGUCGUGAAGAGGGAAACAACCCAGACCGCCAGCUAAGGUCCCAAAGUCAUGGUUAAGUGGGAAACGAUGUGGGAAGGCCCAGACAGCCAGGAUGUUGGCUUAGAAGCAGCCAUCAUUUAAAGAAAGCGUAAUAGCUCACUGGUCGAGUCGGCCUGCGCGGAAGAUGUAACGGGGCUAAACCAUGCACCGAAGCUGCGGCAGCGACACUAUGUGUUGUUGGGUAGGGGAGCGUUCUGUAAGCCUGUGAAGGUGUGCUGUGAGGCAUGCUGGAGGUAUCAGAAGUGCGAAUGCUGACAUAAGUAACGAUAAAGCGGGUGAAAAGCCCGCUCGCCGGAAGACCAAGGGUUCCUGUCCAACGUUAAUCGGGGCAGGGUGAGUCGACCCCUAAGGCGAGGCCGAAAGGCGUAGUCGAUGGGAAACAGGUUAAUAUUCCUGUACUUGGUGUUACUGCGAAGGGGGGACGGAGAAGGCUAUGUUGGCCGGGCGACGGUUGUCCCGGUUUAAGCGUGUAGGCUGGUUUUCCAGGCAAAUCCGGAAAAUCAAGGCUGAGGCGUGAUGACGAGGCACUACGGUGCUGAAGCAACAAAUGCCCUGCUUCCAGGAAAAGCCUCUAAGCAUCAGGUAACAUCAAAUCGUACCCCAAACCGACACAGGUGGUCAGGUAGAGAAUACCAAGGCGCUUGAGAGAACUCGGGUGAAGGAACUAGGCAAAAUGGUGCCGUAACUUCGGGAGAAGGCACGCUGAUAUGUAGGUGAAGUCCCUCGCGGAUGGAGCUGAAAUCAGUCGAAGAUACCAGCUGGCUGCAACUGUUUAUUAAAAACACAGCACUGUGCAAACACGAAAGUGGACGUAUACGGUGUGACGCCUGCCCGGUGCCGGAAGGUUAAUUGAUGGGGUCAGCGCAAGCGAAGCUCUUGAUCGAAGCCCCGGUAAACGGCGGCCGUAACUAUAACGGUCCUAAGGUAGCGAAAUUCCUUGUCGGGUAAGUUCCGACCUGCACGAAUGGCGUAAUGAUGGCCAGGCUGUCUCCACCCGAGACUCAGUGAAAUUGAACUCGCUGUGAAGAUGCAGUGUACCCGCGGCAAGACGGAAAGACCCCGUGAACCUUUACUAUAGCUUGACACUGAACAUUGAGCCUUGAUGUGUAGGAUAGGUGGGAGGCUUAGAAGUGUGGACGCCAGUCUGCAUGGAGCCGACCUUGAAAUACCACCCUUUAAUGUUUGAUGUUCUAACGUUGACCCGUGAUCCGGGUUGCGGACAGUGUCUGGUGGGUAGUUUGACUGGGGCGGUCUCCUCCUAAAGAGUAACGGAGGAGCACGAAGGUUGGCUAAUCCUGGUCGGACAUCAGGAGGUUAGUGCAAUGGCAUAAGCCAGCUUGACUGCGAGCGUGACGGCGCGAGCAGGUGCGAAAGCAGGUCAUAGUGAUCCGGUGGUUCUGAAUGGAAGGGCCAUCGCUCAACGGAUAAAAGGUACUCCGGGGAUAACAGGCUGAUACCGCCCAAGAGUUCAUAUCGACGGCGGUGUUUGGCACCUCGAUGUCGGCUCAUCACAUCCUGGGGCUGAAGUAGGUCCCAAGGGUAUGGCUGUUCGCCAUUUAAAGUGGUACGCGAGCUGGGUUUAGAACGUCGUGAGACAGUUCGGUCCCUAUCUGCCGUGGGCGCUGGAGAACUGAGGGGGGCUGCUCCUAGUACGAGAGGACCGGAGUGGACGCAUCACUGGUGUUCGGGUUGUCAUGCCAAUGGCACUGCCCGGUAGCUAAAUGCGGAAGAGAUAAGUGCUGAAAGCAUCUAAGCACGAAACUUGCCCCGAGAUGAGUUCUCCCUGACCCUUUAAGGGUCCUGAAGGAACGUUGAAGACGACGACGUUGAUAGGCCGGGUGUGUAAGCGCAGCGAUGCGUUGAGCUAACCGGUACUAAUGAACCGUGAGGCUUAACCUU